rnacentral:lncRNA from 1 species
ACAAAUAACAUUUACUAAACUAGAGCAUCUCAAAUUAAUAUGUACCGACCCCAAACAUGUUUAGACUAAAUGGGCCCAGUUUUCAAAAAUUAAUAUGUACCGGCCCCAAACAUAUUUAAAUGAAAUGCGCCAGUUUUCAACUCUGAACAAGAACAUUUAGGCUGCUGUAAAGAAAAAGAACUGAAACAGUGAUGGAUUAAACUAAGUAUGAAUACAUUUUUAUACACUACUAGUAAUAAAUAGCUUAAUUACAUUUUUAUAAAAAAUUACAAGCCUUGAACUAAAUUAAGAAAUUUAGUUGCAUAGGCCGAAAUCAAAUUAAUUUUGAGUUUGCCUGUGAUCAACUAGCAAAAACUUUGCAAUGUUCUUGAAGCUGCCUAUCAUUUACAAAAGGCUAACCAACCAGUCGCUACACUUGUAAAUCUGAGCCUUGUGCCCAAGCACUCACAAACUCCUGCAUUACCAAAUGCCAACAAUACCAAACAAAGUGAUUUCAAAAGGGGAGGUCCUUACACAAAAAAACAAAUACUGUCAAACUUCUGAAACCUUAAACAUUUAUGGAAUUUUGGAACUUCAUGUAUACCUUGACUGUCAAAAGCUAAAAAAAGAAAUAAUUUUAACACUUGUUCCCUAUUUCAUUAAGGUUUGAGACAUUCAACACAUCUAAUGAUUUAAAUCAAACUUAAACUUGCAACCAAACAUGAAAGCAAAGAGCAUUCAGUAUACAUGAAAUGAGCAAAUAGUUGAAACCUCAAAGCCAUAUGACAUUAAAGUAACAACAUCAUUAUUAGAAAAACUAUCAGUACAUACCUUACUAGCAACAAAUAAAGAGAAGAAGAAGAUGAAUCUCUGAAUAAACUAGAAGAAACAGUAGCAAGAAUACAACAACAAAGAGUAACAGACAAUAGCUUAAAAACCUCAAACCCUAGAAAUCCCGAAACCCCCAAUGAUAGGAAAACAAACAGGAAACCAAGAUGAAUCCUAAGUCUCCAUUUCUGGUAUUUGAAUGGAAUUCCCUAUCCUUUGGGAAGAAAUUAGUAUAUAAGCAGAAAGAAAAAUCAAGAGUGAAUUCUUUCCUUUUUGUGAGUAAAUCUGUAGCGAUAUUAACGUCUGUGUGAGUGUGAGUGAGGUUCCUU